AGUCCCUGAACGCGCCCGAUCUCGUCUGAUCUCAGAAGCUAAGCAGGGUCAGACCUGGUUAGUACUUGGAUGGGAGGAAAUGCCAGGGA
rnacentral:rRNA from 1 species